AGAGUUUGAUCAUGGCUCAGGACGAACGCUGGCGGCGCGCCUAAUCCAUGCAAGUCGAGCGACGCAUUCCUUAGCCCGUAAGGGCGGGUUUGACGGAGCGGCGAACGGGUGCGUAACACGUGACCAAUCUGCCCCGAAGACCGGGAUAGCCCGGGGAAACCCGGAUUAAUACCGGAUGAUCUCACCACCACGCAUGUGGAGGUGAGCAAAGGCUCAGGCGCUUCGGGAUGAGGUCGCGGCCCAUCAGCUUGUUGGUGAGGUAACGGCUCACCAAGGCAAUUACGGGUAGCUGGUCUGAGAGGACGAUCAGCCACACUGGAACUGAGAUACGGUCCAGACUCCUACGGGAGGCAGCAGGAGGGAAUCUUGCGCAAUGGGCGAAAGCCUGACGCAGCGACGCCGCGUGGGGGAUGAAUGCCUUAGGGUUGUAAACCCCUUUCACGAGGGAAGAAACUGACGGUACCUCGAGAAGAAGCCCCGGCCAACUACGUGCCAGCAGCCGCGGUAAUACGUAGGGGGCGAGCGUUGUCCGGAUUUAUUGGGCGUAGAGGGCUCGUAGGCGGCUUGGCAAGUCGGCCGUGAAAACCCAGGGCUCAACUCUGGGACGCCGGUCGAUACUGCCAUGGCUAGGGUCCGNUAGAGGGGAAUGGAAUUCCCG
rnacentral:rRNA from 1 species